GAAAUGGGCAGAGAAAUGGGCCCUGCAGGGGGAAAGGCAGGAGCCAGCCCCUGGAAGGCCACAGCUCCUGGUUUAGGAGGCAGGAACAUCUGCAUAGAAUAGUGACAGCUGUGCAGGGGGGAGGGGGGGGGGGAGGGGCUGCAUGAAGCCACAGGGCUGCAGGCCCUGAGGAAAAGUGCUGGAAAAGGAAGACAGAGAGAGGGGUGGCAGGAAGGAAAAGAUGUCCGCAGUGAGACAGAUGCUUUGCCCCAGGUCCUGCAGAAAUCAAUCAUCUCAGACAAUGCGUGGGAGCGCAUGAGGGCCCUGCAGACCUUCUCCCAACUGCUGGCUGCUUCUGAAGAGCUUCGAAGAGGAGAUGCCUGCAAGCACUUUGGCUCCUUGGUGGGAUUGCUGGCACCUCUGACAUGUGAUCCCAUGCCCACAUCCCGCCAAUUGGCUGUCUCCUGUCUGCACUCCCUUCUCCAAAUCCAAGCCAAGGAGACCAACACAAUUGAGACAGGAGACAUCAGGAGCCUGUGCGAGGGGCUGCAUGCCUGCAGCACCACCUCUCAGCUCCAGACCUCUUCCAAAAUUGCAAGGGUAAGUGGACCCAAAAAGGGGUGUGGGAUCUCAGUGCAUAGGCUUCUGCAUGACCCUAAGCUGCCCCCAGCUUCUCACACCAUUUCCAAAAUGAGCUGUCACCCUGAGACUUUUCUCAGCAAGUAGCUGGAGGCUCUGAGCUAUGUCUGGCCUUCUGGUGCCCAGUGAAAGGAGCCGACUGUAUGAUGUGCAUUUGUCUGUGUGUGUGACUGUGUGUGUUUG
rnacentral:lncRNA from 1 species